GUGGAUGCCUUGGCGAUGAUAGGCGACGAAGGACGUGA
rnacentral:rRNA from 1 species